UGGGGAAUUGUUCGCAAUGGGCGCAAGCCUGACGACGCAACGCCGCGUGGAGGAUGAAGGUCUUCGGAUUGUAAACUCCUGUUGAUCGGGACGAAAAGCUUCGACCUAACACGUCGAAGACUGACGGUACCGGUUGAGGAAGCCACGGCUAACUCUGUGCCAGCAGCCGCGGUAAUACAGAGGUGGCAAGCGUUGUUCGGAAUUACUGGGCGUAAAGGGCGCGUAGGCGGCCUUCUAAGUCGGACGUGAAAGCCCCAGGCUUAACCUGGGAACUGCGUCCGAUACUGGGAGGCUUGGAUUCGGGAGAGGGAUGUGGAAUUCCAGGUGUAGCGGUGAAAUGCGUAGAUAUCUGGAGGAACACCGGUGGCGAAGGCGGCAUCCUGGACCGAGAUCGACGCUGAGGCGCGAAAGCUAGGGGAGCAAACGGGAUUAGAUACCCCGGUAGUCCUAGCUGUAAACGAUGAGCGCUGGGUGUAGGGGGUAUC
rnacentral:rRNA from 1 species